rnacentral:rRNA from 1 species
AUGCAAGUCGAACGGUGAAGAGGAGCUUGCUCCUUGGAUCAGUGGCGAACGGGUGAGUAACACGUGAGCAAUCUGCCCUUGACUCUGGGAUAACUGCGGGAAACUGUAGCUAAUACCGGAUAUUACCUUGGAAGGCAUCUUCUGGGGUGGAAAGAAUUUUGGUCAAGGAUGAGCUCGCGGCCUAUCAGCUAGUUGGUGAGGUAAUGGCUCACCAAGGCGACGACGGGUAGCCGGCCUGAGAGGGUGACCGGCCACACUGGGACUGAGACACGGCCCAGACUCCUACGGGAGGCAGCAGUGGGGAAUAUUGCACAAUGGGCGCAAGCCUGAUGCAGCAACGCCGCGUGAGGGACGACGGCCUUCGGGUUGUAAACCUCUUUUAGUAGGGAAGAAGCGACUGGGUUUUCCUGGGAGUGACGGUACCUGCAGAAAAAGCACCGGCUAACUACGUGCCAGCAGCCGCGGUAAUACGUAGGGUGCAAGCGUUGUCCGGAAUUAUUGGGCGUAAAGAGCUCCUAGGCGGUUUGUCGCGUCUGCUGUGAAAACCCGAGGCUCAACCUCGGGCCUGCAGUGGGUACGGGCAGACUANAGUGCGGUAGGGGAGAUUGGAAUUCCUGGUGUACGGUGGAAUGCCANAUAUCAGGAGGAACACCAAUGGCGAAGGCAGAUCUCUGGGCCGUAACUGACGCUUAAGANCGAAACAUGGGGACGAACAGGAUUANAUACCUGGUAUCCAUGCCCUAAAC